CGAGUACAUGGGAGCCGGGGAUCCAUCCGAGGAGCGGAAAGGGGAAGGGAACGCGAAGCUGAUCCGCCGGUGAUUGAAGCGAGCAGUAGAUCUUCCGUUUCUCAAAUCCAUUAAUGGUUGUUAAGGUGCACCAUUUAUCUCGCCACAUGUCCGCGUGCUAUCACUCUAUCAGAUACUAACGGAUCAAAAUUUAUUUGGAGAAUUCGGGAAGGUUGGAUCAAAUGGUGCCCCCUGAUUGAAUUUCACGCCUCCUAUGUGUCCUUCCCCUCACCACCAGGCAAGAUCCAAAUGACCCUUGUAUGGGUUGAUUGCGCGGGAUGUGGUGAUGCAGAAUAAAUGUCGAGUUCGUUCAACCAGUAAGGUUGGUAGCAUCAGUUGAUCCUAUCUACGAAUAAGGCCUUGCAUUUGCGAUGGGUGAUCUCCAGAUCUUGUUUCUUUAUUGUGAUAAGACCAUAUAAGCCAUGUCUCUUGAUUUCCCGAAACCUGUGCCAAAAGCUGGCUCCUUACCUUCAUUGCCCUGGCUAUUUUUUCUUAUAAUUUUGGUACUUU